CAAAAUGACAGCAGCAUGCAGAUGCCUGGAGUGGAAUUCAGAGAGAACUACUUGACAAAAAUACAUCUGGUUUUCACCGAGCUGUGGACAUGCAUACUUCACUGUAGUUUCUUUGGUGUGAAGAGCUGACCAUCAUAAAGAGACAGAAGAUAAAUAGGAACAGAAAGCUGAGAAGCCAGGAAGGGAACUGUAGGGGCAGAAGUCCCAAGAGAAUGCUCCUAGAAGCCCUUCUGCCCAUUGCAGGCCUUGGGCUGAGGCUGGAGAAGUUGACUUCCACCAAGUGAUCUCCAGUAUGUAGAGGGAAGGAGGAUUUUUUGUCCAUCCCUCACGAUUCCCUGUGUGAAACAAGCUGUCACUGAUGUAUUUUCCUCAGAAAUCCUGAGCAAACAAUUUGGAAUAAUGUCCAAAGAAUGCUUUACAUUACAAAAUAAUGUAAAAUAAGUGUGAUGAGGAGGCUGGAAACCAAGCUACAUAAAGAUCAGAAAUUCAUUUUUGCAUCCUGAUCCUGACUGUGUUUCUGCAAUAUAUCAGAUCAUCUUGCUGGUGUCCUGCAGAUCCUAGUGUGCAUUGAACUAACUUUCCUCUCAAGACAUAGUCUUAUUUUCUUCAACUCUGUGAGAUGUGACAAGAUACCCAGGAGGAGGAGUUCAGCUGAACAUUUUGUUUUCCUACUCUUGUAUUUGUUUGCAUUUGUUCUUAGCUCCUGAACAGUUCCUCCUGGAAAGACUUACAAGUAUUGGAACAAAAUUCCUAAAUGAAUGGAACUGUUGCCUUGUAAGAGAAGCUUUUGGUCAAGUCUAAAUAACAAGACAUAAAGAUAUAUUAACUUAAUUUAAAGCCAUAACAAGGUCCUAAAAUAUAGCAAUGGUAACAGUUUUGUUCCAUUUUGGGACUUCUAACCUGAAACCUUUGGAAGAAACUUGAUGGGCUAGGAUCUCUUAUAAAAUGUAUGUAGUGAGAAGCUUAAGAAUGAAAAUGUUUUAAAGCCUCUCAUUAUUUAGAAAGGCUUGAACUAUAGCUUUAAAUUAUUCAUGAACUAUGUGCUGGAUAACUGAGAAGUAAAGGUAUUACCUUAUCUAUGUCUUAUUCAACAUUUGUCUUCUCUGUUUAGAGGUAAGGACAAACAACA
rnacentral:lncRNA from 1 species